rnacentral:rRNA from 1 species
GACACCUUAAUCCAACAUCGAGGUCGCAAACCCUUCUUUCAAUGUGAACUCUCCAGAAAGAUUACGCUGUUAUCCCUGUGGUAACUUUUUCCGAUAAUCAACAAUGCUGGAUCACUUGUUAGUAAACCAAAAUUCUACAAAUUAACAGAGAAGCUUUUCAUGUUCCCUAGUCACCCCAACUAAAGAUGUAAGAAUAAAUUUAAAAUCCUCUAUUCUAAUAGAAACAACCCCUUUAUUCCACACUAAAGCUCAACAGGGUCUUCUCGUCCCUCAGCUGAAUCUAAGCCUUUUCACUUAGAAGUUAAUUUUUAAAUAUUCCAGGAGAGACAGCUCAGCCCUCGUCAAACCAUUCAUACCAGCCUCCAAUUAAAAGGCAAGUGAUUGUGCUACCUUUGCACGGUCAGUGUACCGCGGCCGUUU